AUGCACGCUGGCGGCGUGCCUAAUACAUGCAAGUCGAGCGAACGGACGAGAAGCUUGCUUCUCUGAUGUUAGCGGCGGACGGGUGAGUAACACGUGGAUAACCUACCUAUAAGACUGGGAUAACUUCGGGAAACCGGAGCUAAUACCGGAUAAUAUUUUGAACCGCAUGGUUCAAAAGUGAAAGACGGUCUUGCUGUCACUUAUAGAUGGAUCCGCGCUGCAUUAGCUAGUUGGUAAGGUAACGGCUUACCAAGGCAACGAUGCAUAGCCGACCUGAGAGGGUGAUCGGCCACACUGGAACUGAGACACGGUCCAGACUCCUACGGGAGGCAGCAGUAGGGAAUCCUCCGCAAUGGGCGAAAGCCUGACGGAGCAACGCCGCGUGAGUGAUGAAGGUCUUCGGAUCGUAAAACUCUGUUAUUAGGGAAGAACAUAUGUGUAAGUAACUGUGCACAUCUUGACGGUACCUAAUCAGAAAGCCACGGCUAACUACGUG
rnacentral:rRNA from 1 species